AUGAGCAAGGCAUUGGCACCUCACUAUCAAGGACUGUCAACUUAUAAAAAGGAGUACUUGGCAGUGAUAAUAGCAGUUGAUCAGUGGCGUCCCUAUCUUCAACAUGGAGAAUUUGUAAUACACACAGACCUGAAAAGCCUCAUCCACCUUGAAGAGCAACGACUAUCUAGCCCCUGGCAGAAAAAAGCCUUCACUAAACUGUUGGGUCUGCAGUACACCAUCAAAUAUAAGAAGGGCUCGGAGAAUACAGCAACUUAG
rnacentral:rRNA from 1 species